rnacentral:rRNA from 1 species
GUGGGGAAUCUUCCGCAAUGGACGAAAGUCUGACGGAGCAACGCCGCGUGAGUGAUGAAGGUCUUCGGAUUGUAAAGCUCUGUUAAUCGGGACGAAAGAGCCUAGUGUGAAUAAUGCUAGUAAGUGACGGUACCGGAAUAGAAAGCCACGGCUAACUACGUGCCAGCAGCCGCGGUAAUACGUAGGUGGCAAGCGUUGUCCGGAAUUAUUGGGCGUAAAGCGCGCGCAGGCGGAUCUGCCAGUCUGUCUUAAAAGUUCGGGGCUUAACCCCGUGAUGGGAUGGAAACUACAGAUCUAGAGUAUCGGAGAGGAAAGUGGAAUUCCUAGUGUAGCGGUGAAAUGCGUAGAUAUUAGGAAGAACACCAGUGGCGAAGGCGACUUUCUGGACGAGAACUGACGCUGAGGCGCGAAAGCCAGGGGAGCGAACGGGAUUAGAAACCCGUGUAGUCC